UGUUAGCAAUGCUAAAACAAAUUUGCAACAGACUCGAGAGGUUAGAAUCUAGGUUGGAAAACGCAACAGACUCACAAUCGUCUACGUUUUCACAGCCGAGAGUGCGAUGUAGGUAUGGGAAAACACACCACGACGAACGUUAUUCGUCACAGCGUCGUUACGAUAUAUCGGGUGUUAGACAGAAUAACUUUUAUGGUUCGACACAACAAAAUUUUCAAGGUAAAACACGCCGUCGAAAACAUAAAAGGAAAAACCAACAACAGGUGCGAGGCGAAACGAAAUCGAAAAAUUCCCUCGUCAUUCCG
rnacentral:lncRNA from 1 species